rnacentral:lncRNA from 1 species
AUGUGCCCAGGGAGGGUGACCAGAAGCCCUCCCCACACCCCAUGUUCCUCAGGAUGGCCCCGGCCUGCCCCUUUGCCUCCCUCCUUGCCAGAAGAUGAAGGAGAGGCGGUCGAUCUUCUCAAUGCUCCGUGGGAGCCAUGCGCAGACGGGCUGGUUACCAAGCUGGGGCAGUGUUGCAAGACGCCUCAUACGCCUGCAGGAGGAGAGGAGGUGAUGACCCGGAGCCAGCUUCCAGCCCUGGGUGGCUGCCCUCCCCUAGGGAUCUCUAGCACAGCCAAGGGAGCAGGGAUGGAAACAGGAUACAAAAGGAAAACCCACCUGAGGUCUAGAUUGGGACUCAUCACCCAGGGCCUGCCUCGGCCAUGCAGGUACCUUCCCAGAACCAGGGUCCCUCCCCUGCCUGCAAGACAGUGGCUGUGUGCAGAGCAAGCUGCAAGGGGCCUGAAGGGGGAGGGGUACCUUGUGUUCCUGUCCUGGUCUCGGAUUCUUCUUUUCCAUCUCAGCGGUCUGUCAGAGUCUCCAGCAGUGGGCACCAUUGGUCAGCAUCGCCUGUGUUCCGGAUGGCAAAUCUCCACCGUGGGGCUGCACCUGUCUCUCGAGGCCCAGCACCCCCAGAAGGCUGACCCUGCUCCACUGCAGCCCUAUCAAGUGUCUGCCCACCUCAGCCUGGAGCCCUGCACAGCACAGUUCCCUCUGAGAAGAGUGAAGGCAGGCAGGGCCCAGGGGGAGGCAUGGGAGGACACUGACAGAAUAAAAGAGGAUGGACCCCUGAUCUGUGGCCCUUGCUUCUGCACAGGCAACCAAAGAAAAAAUAAAGUGGACUACAACCAAAAUUUAAAGCUUCUGUGCUUCAAGGGACACUGUCAUGAAAGUGAAAAGACAAGCUACAACGUGGUAGAAAGUAUUUGUAAACCGUACCUCUGAUAGGAACUUAUACCUACAAUAUGUAAAGAACACUUACAACUCAAUAAUAAAAAUACAAAUAGCCCAAUUAAAAACUGAGGGACCUGAGCAGCUAUUUUUCUAAAGAUGAUAUACAAAUGCCCAAAGGCACCUGAGAAGAUGCUCCAUCAUCAUUUGUCAGUGGGGAAAUGCAAAUCACGACCCCAACGAGAUGCCACUCCCUCCCCCUCCCCCACUAGGAUGGCGAGAAUCAAAAAGUCAGGUUAACAGGGGUGCCUGUGUGGUUCAGUCGGUUAAGCGUCCAACUUCAGCUCAGGUCAUGAUCUCAUGCUUCAUGGGU